rnacentral:rRNA from 1 species
AAUGAACGCUGGCGGCGUGCUUAACACAUGCAAGUCGAACGGUGAGGCCCAGCUUGCUGGGUGGAUCAGUGGCGAACGGGUGAGUAACACGUGAGUAACCUGCCCUUGACUCUGGGAUAAGCCUGGGAAACUGGGUCUAAUACCGGAUACGACCAUCUGGCGCAUGUCAUGGUGGUGGAAAGCUUUUGUGGUUUUGGAUG